rnacentral:lncRNA from 1 species
CUGCCCUUCACCAGUGAAUAAGCUGGUAUUCCAUGACAGGACUGGAAGGGAUUCCAUGAGAAGACCUGGGAAGGGCAGCCCUCGAAUCAAGUUCAAUCUGCAAAAGAGCCAUGGACUUCAACUUGAUUAGAAAAUUGUGCUGACGCUUCCUGUGAAGUCUAUCUUGAGCCUUCCAGAGGAACUUGAGGAGGGAAUUUUCUGCACACACCCAUCAUUCUGAAUGACAUUCCCACUGCUUGGCAGUGCUCUUGGCCAAACAUCUGCCCAGGUGCCUGGGUGUGAGGCUCAAGGAGGAACCACUGUGGGCAGCUCGGGCUCCAUCUCUUUCAGGACAGAAGGCAGGCUCCCUGCAGGGGAUGGUCUGGAGAACCGAUGCUCAAGCUCCUAACUAAUAUACAAUCAACCCAAGUGCUGUGCCACCUCUGCCAGUGCCCUG